GACGAACGCUGGCGGCGUGCUUAACACAUGCAAGUCGAACGGAAAGGCCCUGCUUUCGUGGGGUGCCCGAGUGGCGAACGGGUGCGUAACACGUGAGCAACCUGCCCUUGACUUUGGGAUAACUUCAGGUAACUGGGGUUAAUAUCGGAUAGGAGCUCCUGCUGCAUGGUGGGGGUUGGAAAGUUUCGGCGGUUGGGGAUGGACUCGCGGCUUAUCAGCUUGUUGGUGGGGUAGUGGCUUACCAAGGCUUUGACGGGUAGCCGGCCUGUGAGGGUGACCGGCCACAUUGGGACUGAGAGACGGACCAGUCUCCUACGGGGGACAGCAGUGGGGAAUAUUACACAAUGAGCGGGAGCCUGAUGCGGCGACGCCGCGUGCGGGAUGACGGCCUUCUGGUUGUAAACCGCUUUCGCCUGAGACGAAGCGUGAGUGACGGUAAUGGAUAAAUAAGCACCGGCUAACUACGUG
rnacentral:rRNA from 1 species